ACAUAUACAUAUACAUAUACAUAUACAUAUACGUAUACAUAUACGUAUAUAUAUACGUGUGUGUGUGUGUGUGUGUGUGUGU